rnacentral:rRNA from 1 species
GUGGGGAAUCUUAGACAAUGGGCGCAAGCCUGAUCUAGCCAUGCCGCGUGAGCGAUGAAGGCCUUAGGGUUGUAAAGCUCUUUCGUGGGGGAAGAUAAUGACUGUACCCCAAGAAGAAGCCCCGGCUAACUCCGUGCCAGCAGCCGCGGUAAUACGGAGGGGGCUAGCGUUGUUCGGAAUUACUGGGCGUAAAGCGCACGUAGGCGGACUGGAAAGUCAGGGGUGAAAUCCCGGGGCUCAACCCCGGAACUGCCUUUGAAACUCCCAGUCUUGAGUUCGAGAGAGGUGAGUGGAAUUCCGAGUGUAGAGGUGAAAUUCGUAGAUAUUCGGAAGAACACCAGUGGCGAAGGCGGCUCACUGGACAGGUAUUGACGCUGAGGUGCGAAAGCGUGGGGAGCAAACAGGAUUAGAAACCCCUGUAGUCC